rnacentral:lncRNA from 1 species
AUGCCCUCGCUGACCAACCUGUGCAACAAGACGUGGCUGGUGGACGUCCACCUGGUUGGUGACUUCUCCUCCUCGGCCCAGUUCUUUGUCACGGUGGCCGUCUUCGCCUUCCUCUACAGCAUGGCCGCCCUCGCCGUCUACCUGGGCUACCUCCACCUCUACCGUGGGGCGGGUGGGAAGCUGCCGUUGGUGGUAAGUCCAUCUUGGUCUUCUCCAUCCGUCCGUCCAUCCUGGUGUUCCCCAUCCAUCCGUCCAUCUUGGUCUUCUCUAUCCCUCCGUCUAUCCUGGUUUUCUCCAUCCGUCCAUCUUGGUCUUCUCCGUCCAGCCGUCUAUCCUGGUUUUCUCCAUCCAUCUUGGUUUUCUCUAUUCAUCCAUCCAUCCUGGUCUUUUUCAUCCAUCCAUCUUGCUCUUUUUUGUCUAUCCCUUCAUCUUGGUUGUCUUUAUCCAUUCAUCAGUCUUGGUUUUUUUCUGUCUGUCCAUCCAUCUUGGUCUUCUCCGUCCAUCCAUUUUGGUCUUCUCCAUCCGUGCAUCUUGGUCUUCUCCAUCCGUGCAUCGUCUUCUCUAUCCAUCCAUCUAUCCUGGUUUUGUCUAUUCAUCCAUCUUGUUUUUCUUUAUCUAUCCAUCCAUCCAUCCUGGUCUUCUUCAUCCACCCAUCUUGCUCUUCUUUAUCCAUCCUUCCAUCUUGGUUUUCUUUCUCCAUCCAUCAGUCUUGGUUUUUUCUAUCUGUCCAUCUAUCCUGGUCUUUUCCAUCCAUCCAUCCUGGUCUUCUCUAUCAACUGUCCUGGUCUUUUCCAUCCGUCCAUCUUUGUCUUCUCUAUCUGUCCAUCCGUCUUGGUCAUCUUCAUCCAUCUGUCUUGGUCUUCUCUAUUUGUCUACCCAUCUUGGUCUUCUCCAUGCAUCCAUCCAUCCUGGUCUUUUCUGUCCAUCCAUCCGUCUUGGUCGUCUUCAUCCAUCCGUCUUGGUCGUCUUUGUCUACCCAUCUUCGUCUUCUCCAUGCAUCCAUCCAUCCAUGCUGGUCUUCUCUGUCCGUCCAUCCAUCCUGGUCUUCUCUGUCGUCCAUCUUGGUCGUCUUCAUCCCUCCCACUGUCUUGGUCGUCUCUGUCUACCCCUCUUGGUUUUCUUUAUUUGUCUAUCCAUCUUGGUGUUCUCCAUGUAUCCAUCCAUCCAUCCUGGUUUUCUCUGUCCAUCCAUCUAUCCUGGUGUUCUCUGUCUGUCCAUCCAUCCAUCUUGGUCGUCUUCAUCCAUCCGUCUUGGUCUUUUCUAUAUGUCUACUCAUCUUGGUCAUCUCUAUGUGUCUAA